GAUAAAUUAAAGUGAGAUCCCCAUCGGAAUAUCUUAGGGUCUGGUUCUCAAAUCUUCCUGUCACCUUUUUCUGGUUAGUCGAAGAUUUUACUUGGCAAGCUGAAGUGUAUGUCAUGCUGCCCUCGCAAUUACCAGCACCAGUUCUCCCACAUACAUUCAAGUAAUAGUAAUACUCCUCUUUGUCAUCUUUGGCUAAGUAUGGUGUGACAUAAUCUGGAGAUAGAGUAAGUGGGCUCAAGUCAAUGGAGACAUCAUGUUGCUCAUUAGUCAGAACACAGCUCUUACUUUCCAGGUAAUCCCUGUGACAGGCAUACUCAGUAAC
rnacentral:lncRNA from 1 species